rnacentral:rRNA from 1 species
GUCUACGGCCAUGCCACCCUGAUCAAACCCGAUCCCAUCUCGUCUCGGAAGUUAAGCAGAGUCAGGCCUGGUUAGUACUUGGAUGGGAGACCCCCUAGGAAGACCAGGUGCUGUAAGGC